rnacentral:pre_miRNA from 1 species
AUGUAGGGCAAUCUGUCUUUAAGUAGGGAUAAAUUAAAACAAAACAAAAAAGAAUCCUAGUUUUCCCUUCAAGUUAAGCAUCUUGU